ACGAACGCUGGCGGCAUGCCUAAUACAUGCAAGUCGAGCGGAACCAGGAGAGCUUGCUCUUUCUGGUUCAGCGGCGGACGGGUGAGUAACACGUGGGCAACCUGCCCUGCAGAUCGGGAUAACUCCGGGAAACCGGUGCUAAUACCGAAUAGUUUGGAGCCUCUCCUGAGGCUCCACGGAAAGGCGGCUUCGGCUGCCACUGCAGGAUGGGCCCGCGGCGCAUUAGCUAGUUGGUGGGGUAAUGGCCUACCAAGGCGACGAUGCGUAGCCGACCUGAGAGGGUGAUCGGCCACACUGGGACUGAGACACGGCCCAGACUCCUACGGGAGGCAGCAGUAGGGAAUCUUCCGCAAUGGACGCAAGUCUGACGGAGCAAUGCCGCGUGAGUGACGAAGGUUUUCGGAUCGUAAAACUCUGUUGUAAGGGAAGAACAAGCCCCAUUUAACUGAUGGGGCCCUGACGGUACCUUACCAGAAAGCCACGGCUAACUACGUGCC
rnacentral:rRNA from 1 species